UUUAUGGAGAGUUUGAUCCUGGCUCAGGAUGAACGCUGGCGGCGUGCCUAAUACAUGCAAGUCGAGCGAACGGACGAGAAGCUUGCUUCUCUGAUGUUAGCGGCGGACGGGUGAGUAACACGUGGAUAACCUACCUAUAAGACUGGGAUAACUUCGGGAAACCGGAGCUAAUACCGGAUAAUAUUUUGAACCGCAUGGUUCAAAAGUGAAAGACGGUCUUGCUGUCACUUAUAGAUGGAUCCGCGCUGCAUUAGCUAGUUGGUAAGGUAACGGCUUACCAAGGCAACGAUGCAUAGCCGACCUGAGAGGGUGAUCGGCCACACUGGAACUGAGACACGGUCCAGACUCCUACGGGAGGCAGCAGUAGGGAAUCUUCCGCAAUGGGCGAAAGCCUGACGGAGCAACGCCGCGUGAGUGAUGAAGGUCUUCGGAUCGUAAAACUCUGUUAUUAGGGAAGAACAUAUGUGUAAGUAACUGUGCACAUCUUGACGGUACCUAAUCAGAAAGCCACGGCUAACUACGUGCCAGCAGCCGCGGUAAUACGUAGGUGGCAAGCGUUAUCCGGAAUUAUUGGGCGUAAAGCGCGCGUAGGCGGUUUUUUAAGUCUGAUGUGAAAGCCCACGGCUCAACCGUGGAGGGUCAUUGGAAACUGGAAAACUUGAGUGCAGAAGAGGAAAGUGGAAUUCCAUGUGUAGCGGUGAAAUGCGCAGAGAUAUGGAGGAACACCAGUGGCGAAGGCGACUUUCUGGUCUGUAACUGACGCUGAUGUGCGAAAGCGUGGGGAUCAAACAGGAUUAGAUACCCUGGUAGUCCACGCCGUAAACGAUGAGUGCUAAGUGUUAGGGGGUUUCCGCCCCUUAGUGCUGCAGCUAACGCAUUAAGCACUCCGCCUGGGGAGUACGACCGCAAGGUUGAAACUCAAAGGAAUUGACGGGGACCCGCACAAGCGGUGGAGCAUGUGGUUUAAUUCGAAGCAACGCGAAGAACCUUACCAAAUCUUGACAUCCUUUGACAACUCUAGAGAUAGAGCCUUCCCCUUCGGGGGACAAAGUGACAG
rnacentral:rRNA from 1 species